rnacentral:rRNA from 1 species
GACGAACGCUGGCGGCGUGCUUAACACAUGCAAGUCGAGCGGUAAGGCCCUUUCGGGGGUACACGAGCGGCGAACGGGUGAGUAACACGUGGGUGACCUGCCCUCAGCUCUGGGAUAAGCCUGGGAAACCGGGUCUAAUACUGGAUAUGACUCCAUGACGCAUGUUGUGGGGUGGAAAGCCUUGUGCGGCUGAGGAUGGGCCCGCGGCCUAUCAGCUUGUUGGUGGGGUGAUGGCCUACCAAGGCGACGACGGGUAGCCGGCCUGAGAGGGCGACCGGCCACACUGGGACUGAGACACGGCCCAGACUCCUACGGGAGGCAGCAGUGGGGAAUCUUGCGCAAUGGGCGAAAGCCUGACGCAGCGACGCCG